CGUAGCUAGUCACUAUACUGACUGAGCUAUCCCGGCUCAUACAAAAAAUGGGUAACAGUUAUAAUAAUUCAUCUAUUUCUUGGAAGAAUUAUUCAUGACUGAUUGUUUUGUGUCAAAAUCACUGUCCCUUAGAACCAGUGAAUAGCCAUAAUACAGAUAAUAUUCUUUUCUCUGCUCAUACAGCUAUACAUAUGUACCCUACUGAAACUUCAACACAGUUUGUUUAUACUUUAAUCUCAUUACUUGUUUAUAAAUGACAGCAUAUUCUUUGGUUACAUGGAACUUCAGAUUUUUCAGAACAGUUGUAUGUUUUAUGUUAUCAUUAUCAGUAUCAGUAUUUGUAUUAUCAUUAGCAGUGUAUUAUCAAUAUCAAUAUAAUUGGUAUGUUGGACCAUUAGUCACAUAGCAAUAAAAUAAAAUAAAAUAAUUAUUAGUAUUUUCUAAGUGAGUGUCUUCUUCAUGAAAAAUUAUAAGUAAUUUUAGCAAUAGUGCACAUUUCUUGCGGGAAGCCAAGGCAAAACUUAAAGGGCUGUAGUGCUACAGGAAGAAGGAGCGUAUUUCUUGGCACUAUUAUAUCCAUGUAUUAAUAUAUACAUAUAUAAAAUACAUACCAUUUUCUUUACACAGUACUGUUUUCAAAGUUAGUGGUGUGUGCGUGAUGCAAUGAAAGUUCGUAUCCUAAAAAGAUAAUUAAAUCGGUGGCCAGAUUCAAAUAAUGAAAGCCAAUAUAACCAAAUUCUUCACACAGCUAACUAUGAAAUAGUUUGCAACAGAUAAUGCUGAUUCAAAUAAAACUAACCCCUCAUCAAGGCCAUUUAAAUACUAGAUGUUAAGCCAUGGUGCAUUAUUAUUUUUUAAAUGCUACAGCAUUUUCUUUGCAGUGAUGUACCAAAACUCAAAUGUCUUAACUACUCUAUGUAAAUUUUGUCAUGUAGUUUGGUUAUGUCAUUGUACGACUGUAUUGAAUCUUCUGCCAGAGAGAGGGCACUUCACAGAGACAGAUUGUUUUUUUCCUACUUCCAUAAGAAAUACAUAUUACACUGAAAACAUGUUCAAAUUAAAAGUGGUUGAGUUAAUUGAGAUCAGUAAUUUAUAGUGUACCAGUUGUUGGUACUGUGAACCAUUUUUAAGAAAUGUGGCAAGUUCCAUUUGAGCUUCAUAUGAGGUUAUGUUUAUAUUGGACCAUUGUGGGUCAAAAUGAAAUCUGUCCAACAGCUUUGAAUGUAGAUCUUCAAUAUAAAAUUUCAUCAUCGGGUAAGUGCUUUUUAAAUGAACAUUUUCAGCAAGUUAUUAAUGUGUGAAAUGUAAAAAUUGAAAAGAAGUGUUGUGUUACAUGGUGGCACUUUAUUCUAUGGGCAUUCUUUAUACAAUUAACAAAUUUCUCACAGGCCAGAAACUGAAUUGAUGAUCUUCUGCUUAACAUAGCAUAUCAUUACAGUUGUUAUGAAAGAUAAAGAUAGGUCUUUCUCAACAGAUUAAAGCUUGUACAUAAAUUGCUUACCGAAGAAUGAGACAUUCCUUCACUUAAGUUAAUAUCACUGUGCAUCUUUUCCCAGUCUCUUGAUACUCUUUUUUAGGUCAAAAUAUUUUCAACAAUUUGUUCUCAAAGGCCAUCACUUGUAGUGGAAGUCCAAGUUUAACGUCUAUACAAAACAACAAGUAAAGUAUAUUUUUGUGUAUUUUAAUUGCCUUUUAUGGGAGACUGGAAGACUUAACUCAAACAUUGUCCAAAUUUAAUAUGCUUUUAACCCUUUGUGAAACUAUGGGGAAUGGUAGGUGCUACAAUGAUUUGGAUUGACUUUUAUCCAGCCAGAUCUGGUACGUAUUUUUCUCAGUGCCUUUCUAUUAUUUCAACUUCAACAAAAUCCGAACGUUGUGAAUUGUGAGUCCUUAUCAUCAUCAUCAUCAUGAACAUUCCAUUGUGCAUUUUUAUGAAGUCCUAAUUCUGCCAGUGCCAACCAUUUGUGUAUCUGAGGAUUCUGGCUUUGUUAGUCUCUUCUGUAUUUCUUUUCUACCGGAGGCAUUACUUUGAUGUAAAUGUUUUGUGCGGUUCGGGGUAAUUAAGCGCAUUUCCGUCAUGAAUGUUAAUUUUGUAAAAAUUAUUAUCCCCAAGUAGCAUGGUUACUAGGUAACUUAUCGAGAAUAUGUUGGUAGCGCUGCAGUGUUUGGCAAUGUGAAGAUUUUACACUGAGCAUGGCAGUCAGCGCAAAGCCAUGUAGGUAUGUAGUUAUGCAGGUGGCGCUAUAUCUAAAAGGAUGUACAUGCUGUGCUGUGGAACUGAGGAGGUUGACAUCUGAGUUCAUUAUGCGAGAUUAAGGAGCCAGUUCCAUAUGGCAUAUCUUCUGUAGAAGCAUAGGAUUGGUCAUCUCUGCACAGAGCAUAUGAAUCUGGAAUGUCCGCCCACUUUUGUCUCUCUCCGGACGCAAAUAAACCAUAGAACAAUGCUCCAGCCAGCUUUGGGCUGUGCCAUUGCUCAGGUAGUUAGCUGCUGGCUUUUCACGUCGGAGACCCAGGUUUGACCCCAGCUGACUUCAAAUAAUAGAUGAAGUGGCACUGGAACAGUGUAUGAAUAAUUGCUUGUCAUCGCAACUAUAGCAACACUCAGAUUUACUCUCAGGGAAUAGACGUUGCAGAAACCUAAGAAUGCCAUAAUCGCAACCACAUACCGCCGCGGAAUUGAAAAGUGCCAUUUUGAACUG